UAUGUAGAAGUCACAACUAUCUGAGGCCGGUCAAUAAUAAUGUAGGCAACAACACAAGUUAGAAGUCUUGAUUAGUGAACCAAGUUCCAAUAACUUGCCAUGCCAAAAUAAAAAAGGAGGAUUGAUCUUGUAUUGGUGUAAGUCCUUUGCAUGAUUUAGGAAACAACCUAUCCUUAAUGCAAAGCCAUUCACUUGAUCAAUUGAUCAAGAUGAGUUAGAUUUGAAUAAAGGAAGAUUAAGUCUCCCUAAUCAAUGCUAACUAAUCAAC
rnacentral:lncRNA from 1 species